rnacentral:lncRNA from 1 species
UAUCACUCAAACUUUUUUAAAAGCCUUAGUUUUGUUUUAUUUCCCCUCCCCCUUCUCUAGAUAAAUUUAAAGACCAAUUAAAAGCCACCCAUGUAAUUUUUUGGAAGCAAGUUACAUGUGAUUUUUUUUUUAAGGCAGUAAAGCAACUAAAACAUCAGUCAUUAAAAGGCAUAUACCCAUGAGCCCAGGCAAGGCAGCAGCAGCAUUUGAUGAAUUCACGGCAAUGCAAGGAUCUAGUAAUGCAAGCUGAGAGGUGGGGUGGGCGACGCAGAAAAAUUUGGAAACGGGGACUAUGACUUGGUGGGAAGAUGCCCCAGAAGUGCUGGCAAAGAUGAGGAGCUGCCAGCUGUUGUGGAAGCAGGUGGGGAGGAGGGGGUGUUCAGCACUGAUGGUGUUAGCUCAGCGUGUGGUUCACCAGUUUCUGGAGCCAUCCUCAGGUUACAGAAGGGAAUUUGGAAGAAGCUAUUUCUCUUUCCAAAUUUGAAGUCAGACUACAUUGCUUAUGUGAUCGACCUUUGUAGGGUAGAAAGGAC